rnacentral:rRNA from 1 species
GUGGGGAAUAUUGGGCAAUGGGCGAAAGCCUGACCCAGCAACGCCGCGUGAAGGAAGAAGGCUUUCGGGUUGUAAACUUCUUUUGUCAGGGACGAAAAAAAUGACGGUACCUGACGAAUAAGCCACGGCUAACUACGUGCCAGCAGCCGCGGUAAUACGUAGGUGGCAAGCGUUAUCCGGAUUUACUGGGUGUAAAGGGCGUGUAGGCGGGAAAGCAAGUCAGAUGUGAAAACUAUGGGCUCAACCCAUAGCCUGCAUUUGAAACUGUUUUUCUUGAGUACUGGAGAGGCAGAUGGAAUUCCUAGUGUAGCGGUGAAAUGCGUAGAUAUUAGGAGGAACACCAGUGGCGAAGGCGAUCUGCUGGACAGCAACUGACGCUGAGGCGCGAAAGCGUGGGGAGCAAACAGGAUUAGAAACCCCUGUAGUCC